rnacentral:lncRNA from 1 species
AUUGGGCUCAGUAAGUUGUGUAUGCUAGACUAACUCACCCUUUAGAUAAUAUGGGUCAUGAAAUUGUGUGUCUUCUUCCUCAGAUUCUAGAGCUAAUAGAAUUACAUAUGUGUGGCAAGAAGUCUGGACCAUAUUAAGACAUUUUAAGGAUACUGUUUCGCUGAAAAAAAGAGCAAGCUCUCUUAGAAAUAAGUGAUGAACCUGAAGGAAUUAACCUGAACUAAACACAGUUUAAGAGCCUUCAUCCAGUAGCUGAUGGGAGCAGAAGCAGACACCCCCAGCUGAACUCUGAGCUGCACUCCUGGAAUCCAUUUGCAGAGAGGGAGGAGUGAUGAGCAAAGGAGUAAAGACUAGGCUGGAGAAACCCACAUAAACAGCUGACCUGAACAAGCUGAACUCAUGGAUUCCAGACUGAUAGCUGAGACACCAGCAAAGGACAAACACAGACAGCCUGAACAUGGGUGUAAAUGGAUUCUUAAUGUCA